GUAAACGUUAAAUCUAAAUAACCGCGACAUUAAAACAAUAUCAUGAGAACAAUAUUUUUUAUAAUUGUUAAUCCGUGUAGCUAUUAUCAUUUUUGUUAUUGUUGACGCGUAACAAACAUUCCUGCAACAAUGAGUUCUAUAUUAUGUUCGCCGCGGUUAAAUAAGAAACUGAAUUUUCAGUCGGAAAGACGCAGACGUUAUCAACUUCUUUCGUUGGCACACUGCAACGAACCCGCCUAAUAAAUGACGGUGUGUGAAAAAUUUCGGACGGUAAAUACAUAUAAUUGUUUUAACGGUUUAUUAUGAUUCAUAAUGUAUUUCCUCAACAGCUUGUAGCGUAUUAUACUAUUAAUAAAAUAUUCGUUAUAAAUUUGUGUGACGUAACGGAUGUCUUUAAAAUUACAUA